rnacentral:tRNA from 1 species
AUACCCAUUGUGUAGUUGCUAUCACAUCCGCCUAACACGCGGAAGUUCCCAGGUUCGAAACCUGGUGGGUACA